rnacentral:rRNA from 1 species
AGUGAACGCUGGCGGUAGGCCUAACACAUGCAAGUCGAACGGCAGCACAGUAAGAGCUUGCUCUUACGGGUGGCGAGUGGCGGACGGGUGAGGAAUACAUCGGAAUCUACUUUUUCGUGGGGGAUAACGUAGGGAAACUUACGCUAAUACCGCAUACGACCUACGGGUGAAAGCAGGGGAUCUUCGGACCUUGCGCGAUUGAAUGAGCCGAUGUCGGAUUAACUAGUUGGCGGGGUAAAGGCCCACCAAGGCGACGAUCCGUAGCUGGUCUGAGAGGAUGAUCAGCCACACUGGAACUGAGACACGGUCCAGACUCCUACGGGAGGCAGCAGGGGGGAAUAUUGGACAAUGGGCGCAAGCCUGAUCCAGCCAUACCGCGUGGGUGAAGAAGGCCUUCGGGUUGUAAAGCCCUUUUGUUGGGAAAGAAAAGCAGCAGGUUAAUACCCCGCUGUUCUGACGGUACCCAAAGAAUAAGCACCGGCUAACUUCGUG